rnacentral:rRNA from 1 species
AGCUAAUAGAUACCCGGGUAGUCCACGCCGUAAACGAUGGAUGCUAGCUGUUUGAGGUAUCGACCCCUCAUGUAGCGAAAGCUAACGCGUUAAGCAUCCCGCCUGUGGAGUACGGUCGCAAGACUAAAACAUAAAGGAAUUGACGGGGACCCGCACAAGCGGUGGAGCGUGUUGUUUAAUUCGAUGGUAAGCGAAGAACCUUACCCAGGCUUGACUUCCUCGGAAUUUUGGCGAAAGCCGAGAGUGCCUUCGGGAACCGAGUGACAGGUGUUGCAUGGCCGUCGUCAGCUCGUGUCGUGAGAUGUUUGGUUAAGUCCAUCAACGAGCGCAACCCUUAUAGUUAGUUGGUAUUUUUCUAGCUAGACUGCCCUGGCAACAGGGAGGAAGGGAGGGGAUGAUGUCAGGUCAGUAUUACCCUUACGUCU